ACCCUUCGGGUGAUUUGUUGGGCGUCGAGCGGCGGACGGGUGAGUAAUGCCUGGGAAAUUGCCCUGAUGUGGGGGAUAACCAUUGGAAACGAUGGCUAAUACCGCAUGAUGCCUACGGGCCAAAGAGGGGGACCUUCGGGCCUCUCGCGUCAGGAUAUGCCCAGGUGGGAUUAGCUAGUUGGUGAGGUAAGGGCUCACCAAGGCGACGAUCCCUAGCUGGUCUGAGAGGAUGAUCAGCCACACUGGAACUGAGACACGGUCCAGACUCCUACGGGAGGCAGCAGUGGGGAAUAUUGCACAAUGGGCGCAAGCCUGAUGCAGCCAUGCCGCGUGUAUGAAGAAGGCCUUCGGGUUGUAAAGUACUUUCAGUCGUGAGGAAGGGGGUAUCGUUAAUAGCGGUAUUCUUUGACGUUAGCGACAGAAGAAGCACCGGCUAACUCCGUGCCAGCAGCCGCGGUAAUACGGAGGGUGCGAGCGUUAAUCGGAAUUACUGGGCGUAAAGCGCAUGCAGGUGGUUCGUUAAGUCAGAUGUGAAAGCCCGGG
rnacentral:rRNA from 1 species